rnacentral:piRNA from 1 species
UGCAACAGAUUUUGGCUGCCAGACGGCGAUA